rnacentral:rRNA from 1 species
GCUGAAAGCAUCUAAGCACGAAACUUGCCCCGAGAUGAGUUCUCCCUGACUCCUUGAGAGUCCUGAAGGAACGUUGAAGACGACGACGUUGAUAGGCCGGGUGUGUAAGCGCAGCGAUGCGUUGAGCUAACCGGUACUAAUGAACCGUGAGGCUUAACCUUACAACGCCGAAG